CUACGGAGGGUGCAAGCGUUGUCCGGAUUUAUUGGGUUUAAAGGGUGCGUAGGCGGAUAAAUAAGUCAGUGGUGAAAUACUUCAGCUCAACUGGAGAGGUGCCAUAGAAACUGUAUAUCUUGAGUGAAGUCGAAGUAGGCGGAAUUGAUGGUGUAGCGGUGAAAUGCAUAGAUAUCAUCAAGAACACCGAUAGCGAAGGCAGCUUACUUGGUUUCAACUGACGCUGAUGCACGAAAGCGUGGGGAGCGAACAGGAUUAGAAACCCCGGUAGUCC
rnacentral:rRNA from 1 species